UAUUGUUUCAUCUCCGGAUUGCCCCUUUAAGUCUGGUUACAUUCUCAUGGUUGAUGAUGAUGAGUUACGGAGAUGGCUGUGUUGUUUAAGGGAGAGUUGUGUUACCGGGAUGACACAUAGUGGGUUGUGUAGCCAGCCAGAAGUUGUGUUACGAAGAUAAGUCACAGUGGGUUGCUAUUGUCUUUGUUGAACAGUGAGUCCCCAACGUGGAUCUCUGCUCCACUGAUCCUGUCGGAGCAGCAGUCCCCUCUGUUGGUAAUGGUGACGUAGGUGACGUUGUGGGUCUUGCUCAUGUCCACCCGCCACCAGGGGUCUAUAUCUUUCGUGUGGCUGCAGGACCCCUCCAGAUACCGAUUGGUCCAGUUCAGGUCAAUGACAUUGUUGGCAUCUCCAAACUUGUCCCACUGCGACGACUGACUGGCUACCCCGCCAGUGGCUGCAUUCUCUUCACAGAACAAACCAGAUUACAAACAUUGGGUUUACAAAUGGUUCAUUGUCAGUUCAAGAUGCAGUACAUAGCUGUACUAAUUAAUGAUCUCAAUGAAAACGUUUUCUCAAACAGUGUUUGUAUUCUCUAUAGAACAACCAAAGUAAAAAAUAUUGUAUAUUGUAUUACCAUAUUGAGUCUUAUGAUAUAGGCAUCGAAUGUUUUGCACUCUUCGUAUCCUGCACCCUCCUCUCUACAGUAAACAUUACAGUACAUAAGGGUUUGAGUCACAGGCUUAAAAGACAGUUAGCCAUGGCUUCAAGUCAUCUAAUAGCUACCAUGUUGUUAAGUUAAUGUCCAACAAUAACACAUCAGAGAAAUAGUAACUAAAACCCUGUAGAUACCAGACGAAAGAUGUUCGUCCAUAUCUGUAAAAGGACCAAUAAAUUAGAUGUAAUUUAGAGGAAUAGGUCAAGUUUGACCAGAUGUCAUGAUUUUGUCACCCUAACAAGCUUAUAAACUUAGAUGAAGUGAACAUGUAUUGCCCCUUCUGUUAAUUGAUGACAAUACCAUAUAAUGUCUGCUCCUCACCAGGACGGCUGCCCACAUUCACCUCCGCCUCACACAGUGACAGGUGUUUAUUUGAGCCCGGCAAGAAGACGUUCACAUGGCGACCCUUGAUCCCUCUGCACUGAAAGGCCAUGACCUCCCACGCGGGAUAUGAGGACAUCACAGCGCACCUAAAGAAGGAAAUCGUAUAAUCAGAUAGUUUCCAAAGUGGAUUUCAGCACCAUCGAUCAUCUCUGGAUCAACAUCCCGUGGCAUUGAAAUGUAGUGGAGCCCCCUGCUGGGAUGUAGGAUAUCAACGCACAACUGGAUGAAACAUUAAGAUGUAUUAGGAGGAGGUGGAUUCCUCGUAUUCUCUAUCAUCACCUCCUUUUAAAGCCCAGUUGUGAAAAAAGUACCCAACUGUCAUACUUGAGUAAAAGUAAAUAUACUGCAGUACAAAAAGAUAGAAGUAAAAAAGUAAGUUACCCAGUAAAAUGGUCUUUACAAGUGCAUGAAUUGGACCAUUUUGCUGUCCUGCCUUUUGGGUGUCAGUGAAAAUAUAUGGGAGUGAAAAGUAAACAUAAAAUGGAGUAAAAGUUGUCAAUGGCAUUUUUACUAAGCUAAAAUGUAAGAUGAAAGGGCAGUGCCAUACCUGGGGUUACUGUUACCAUCGUUCUCCAGGGAGUUUCCAAUGCGGAUCUCAGCCCCGUUGAUCCUCUCUGCUGAAGUAUCUCUGUUGGUGAUGGUGACGGAGGGGACUUGGUAAGUCUCCGGCAGGUCCACCUUCCACCAGGGGUUGGUCUCUCCCAAAGUGUGGCUGCAGGAGUGAUCUUCGUAAGUCGAGUUCCAUAUUCCAUCAAUGGAUCUUUUUGCAGUGCCUCCAUAGAAUGUGGAGGAUUGGGCUGCUUUGCCCCCCAGAGCAACAUACACUGUGGGCCAGAAGGAGAAUAAUGAGGAUAGCUCAGAGCAACAUUCACUGUGGGCCAGAAGAAGAAUAAUGAGGAUAGCUCAGAGCAACAUUCACUGUGGGCCAGAAGAAGAAUAAUGAGGAUAGCUCAGAGCAACAUUCACUGUGGGCCAGAAGAAGAACAAUGAGGAUAGCGCAGAGCAACAUUCACUGUGGGCCAGAAGAAGAAGAAUGAGCAUAGCUCAGAGCAACAUUCACUGUGGGCCAGAAGGAGAAUAAUGAGGAUAGCUCAGAGCAACAUUCACUGGAGGCCAGAAGAAGAAUAAUGAGGAUAGCUCAGAGCAACAUUCACUGUGGGCCAGAAGAAGAAGAAUGAGGAUAGCUCAGAGCAACAUUCACUGUGGGCCAGAAGAAGAGGAAUGAGGAUAGCUCAGAGCAACAUUCACUGUGGACCAGAAGAAGAAUAAUGAGGAUAGCUCAGAGCAACAUUCACUGUGGGCCAGAAGAAGAAUAAUGAGGAAAGCUCAGAGCAACAUUCACUGUGGGCCAGAAGGAGAAUACUGAGGAUAGCUAUUCAGCACACAGAUCAACCAUAAAUCAUGUUACCAUCUGAUAAUCUUCUUAUAUGUUAUAAAAUCAUUUUUUAAAGACUAUAUUUAAAGAUCCACUUUUUAAAUAAUGACACUAUUUCUAUGCGUUAACUUUACAUACAGAACAACAGAAAAUAGAUUCCCAUGGGACCCAACAAGGUAAGGGGGUUUACCAACCUUAUUCAUCUUUAGAUCCCCUUCCCAUUCCCAGAAUCCCCAGUGGGGACAGUAUAAUAACUUCUUUCAUCUUGCUGAUUGAAACAAAUAGGACAGGGAGAUAAACAUCGACAGGUUCAGAUGUUCUGCUCCACAGACAGUUCUUUGAAAUGUCACAGAUCAGAUAAAACAUGUGACUGACACAUUUUGCAAUAGGCUUCUCAAAAUGAAGUUACCAUAUACAUUUGGGAACUUACUGUGUAUGUAAUGUGUUUGCAUGCUCUGCAUUAGAGGGGUUUCUUUAAGCCCUCAGAGACUCAGGGCAAAAAUGGAUUGAACAUAGGAAGGGUCCACUGACCUCUGAGUCACUAUGUUCGCAAUGUACAAAGAUCUGUUUACCUUUCGAAAGUGGCCAACAAGACUGUGCUAUGGAGCAUUACAGAUACAGAGCCCUGACACAGGCAUGUCACAUUUAGUCAUCUUAUUCCAAUCUGUACUUUUUGUGUGAACUGCACUUUUUGUAUUCCUUGUACAGUAUGCUCAUAAGUAUGUUCAUAAGACAUGAUGAAGCUUCACAGACACACGAAGACGGCCUUGAGUGUCGGGAAGACUCAGUGGAACAACCUGGUGACAUCAACCUGGCCAUUGCCCUGUAAUCAUGCUAUAGCAUACAGUACACAUGACCACCUUUAAGUCAGUCCUAAAUGGUCAUUUAAAACGAAUUGUAUGUUUUGCUAAUCAUUUUACCAGGCUGAAUAAAUAUAGCAGCAUUGCAGAAUCA